GACGAACGCUGGCGGCGUGCUUAACACAUGCAAGUCGAACGGAACGGCCUGCUUUUCCUUGUGGGUUGCGGGUACUCGAGUGGCGAACGGGUGAGUAACACGUGAGUGAUCUGCCCCGAACUUGGGUAUAAGCCUGGGAAACUGGGUCUAAUUCCCGAUCGGACUGCAGGGUGGUGCCUGUGGUGGAAAAUGAUUUUCUAGUGGUUGGGGAUGAGCUUGUGGCCUAUCCGCUUGUUGGAGGGGUAAUGGCCUAACAAGGCGGCGACGGGUAGCCGGUCUGACGGGGGGGACGGGGACAGUGAGACUGAGCUACGACCCAGGCACUGAGGGGCGGCAGCGGUUGGGAAGAGGAGACGAUGGGGGGAAGACUGAAGCAGCGAGGCCGCGUGGGGGAUGACGGGCUGCGGGUGGUAAGCUGCUUUCGAGGGCGAAGAGGCCACCUGGUUGGGAGGGUGGUGACGGUAGUGGUAGAAGAAGCACCGGCUAACUACGUG
rnacentral:rRNA from 1 species